CCGACUUUAGCUCAGUUGGAAGAGCAUCAGACUGUAAUUGGCUAGAACUGUCAUCUGGGUGUCGCCUGUUCGAACCAGGCAAGUCGGA